rnacentral:rRNA from 1 species
GGGUCAGUAGGUUGGUCGUGCCACCGGUACGUACUGGUCUCACUGAUUCCUCCUUCCUGAAGAACCGUAAUGCCAUUAAUUUGGUGUUGCGGGGAAACAGGACUGUUACUUUGAAAAAAUUGGAGUGUUUAAAGCAAGCUAACGCUUUAAUACAUUAGCAUGGAAUAAUGAAAUAGGACGAUCGAUCCUAUUUUGUUGGUUUCUAGGAUUGACGUA